rnacentral:tRNA from 1 species
GGGGUUGUAGCUCAGUGGUAGAGCGCCCGCUUUGCAUGCGGGAGGUCUUGGGUUCAAUCCCCAACAGCUCCA